UACGGGGGGGAGCAAGCGUUGUUCGGAUUUACUGGGCGUAAAGCGCACGUAGGCGGCUUGGCAAGUCGGAUGUGAAAGCCCACGGCUCAACCGUGGAGGGUCAUUGGAAACUGGGGGACUUGAGUACAGAAGAGAAGAGUGGAAUUCCACGUGUAGCGGUGAAAUGCGUAGAGAUGUGGAGGAACACCAGUGGCGAAGGCGACUCUUUGGUCUGUAACUGACGCUGAGGCGCGAAAGCGUGGGGAGCAAACAGG
rnacentral:rRNA from 1 species